GAUGAACGCUGGCGGCGUGCUUAACACAUGCAAGUCGAACGGAAAGGCCCUGCUUUUGUGGGGUGCUCGAUUGGCGAACGGGUGAGUAACACGUGAGUAACCUGCCCUUGACUUUGGGAUAACUUCAGGAAACUGGGGCUAAUACCGGAUAGGAUCUCCUGCUGCGUGGGGGUGGUUGGAAAGUUUCGGCCGUAGGGGAUGGACUCGCGGGUUAUCAGCUGGUUGGUGGGGUAGUGGCUUACCAAGGCUUUGACGGGUAGCCGGCAUGAGAGGGUGACCGGCGACAUUGGGCCUGAGAUACGCACCAGAAUCCUACGGGAGGCAGCAGUGGGGAAUAUUGCACAAUGGGCGGAAGCCUGAUGCAGCAACCCCGCGUGCGGGAUGACGGCCUUCGGGUUGUAAACCGCUUUCGCCUGUGACGAAGCGUGAGUGACGGUAAUGGGUCAAGAAGCACCGGCUAACUACGUG
rnacentral:rRNA from 1 species